UUCAUCGUUGCCUAUCAAGAGGUCAAAGCGGCAAUGGAUAAAAGAACGGCGAAAAAAGAAAUGCGAUCACGGCUCGCUCGCUUUUUUAAGCAAAGAGUUGCUGGUGCACGAUGAGCAGAGCUAUAAAAAUUUUCUACGGAUAUCAAAUACUCAAUUUCAUUACUUGCUAUCGCUAGUUGCAGAUGAUAUUCAACGUUCUGAUACUUCAAUGAGAAAGGCGAUUCCUGCAGCAGAAAAAUUGGCAGUGACGCUGCGGUUUCUCAGCACUGGGGAGUCUUACGUCAGUUUGGAUUACCAUACGUGAAUAUCCAAAUCCUCAAUUUGCAAGAUAGUUCCCGAGGUAUGCAGUGCUUUGUUUAACAAAUUAAAAUCGUCAUAUUUAAAGUUUCCGAGCAGCAAAUCCGAAUGGGAGGCUAUAGCAACAGAAUUCGCGUUUAAGUGGCAAUUCCCCAAUUGCAUUGGCGCAUUAGAUGGAAAGCAUAUAACUUACAAAGGCACUAAAAGCAUAAUUUUGUUAGCCCUGGUGGAUGCUAAUUGUAAAUUUAUUUUCGUUGACGUGGGUUGCAACGGUCGCAGUAAUGAUGCUGAAGUUUUUCUACAAAGCAAGUUAAGUACUGUUCUUCAAGAUGAGAAAGAAAUACCAAAAGCAGCUUUAAUUGGAAACAAUCGAAGCGUUCCGUAUGUUGUAGUCGGGGACGAUGCAUUUCCUCUGCAGGUGCAUUUAAUGAAGCCAUAUCCUUACCACACACAAUGUCAAGAAAAACAAAUUUUCAAUCGAAGACUCUCCCGGGCAAGGCAUGUAGUGGAACAUGCAUUUGGAAUUUUGUCGAACCGAUUUCGCGUUUUUCUUGCUCCUAUAAAUCUAGAUGUGGCCACUGUAGAGAAAAUUGUAUUAACGUGCUGUACUUUACAUAAUUAUCUAAUUGAGAAUGGCGAAACAUACACUGAUGGUAGCGGAAAUGUAGAAACUGUAAACGAUAACUGCCCAACUGGAUCGAAUAUAUUAUAUAAUCAGAGAAAAGGUGAAGCGGAGAAUGUUCGUCAAAAAUUUCUUAAAUAUUUCAAUGAAGAAGGCAAACUGGGUUGGUUAAAUAAUAAAUAAUUUCUUUUAUUUUUAGUAAUGUAAAUAUAUAUAUGUAUAUAAGCUUUUGUACUUCAAUAAAAAAAAAUUAAAUUAAAUAUA